rnacentral:rRNA from 1 species
CAAUAGCGUAUAUUAAAGUUGUUGCAGUUAAAAGGCUCGUAGUUGGAUUUCUGGUCGGAAGCUCCUGUCCUCUGAUGAGCGUACAAGUGCGUCCUACCAUCCUUCUGUUAACCUUUAAGGCUUUCGCGGCUUUCUAGGGGCUCAGAUAUUUUACCUUGAGAAAAUUAGAGUGUUUCAGGCAGGCUAGCGCCGGAAUACAUUAGCAUGGAAUAAUGGAAUAGGACUUUUGCCUCUUCUGUUGGUCAUGAGGCUCGAGUAAUGAUUAAUAGGGAUAGUUGGGGGCAUUAGUACUUAACUGUCAGAGGUGAAAUUCUCGGAUUUGUUAAAGACUAACUUAUGCGAAAGCAUUUGCCAAGGAUGUUUUCAUUAA